rnacentral:rRNA from 1 species
UUCUAUGGCCAUACCACUCUGAACGUGUCUGAUCUCGUUUGAUCUCGGAAGCUAAGCAGGGUCAGGUCUGGUUAGUACUUAGAUGGGAGAUCCAAAUUUUUCUCAAAC